rnacentral:rRNA from 1 species
ACGACAGGGAUUGCCCUAGUAACGGCGAGUGAAGCGGCAACAGCUCAAAUUUGAAAUCUGGCCCUCGGGGCCUAGUAGUUAUUUGUAGAGGAUGGUUUUGAUGCGGUGGCUUCCUAGUUCCCUGGAACGGGACGCCAUAUAGGGUGAGAGCCCCGUCCGGUUGGAUGCCAUGCCUCUGUCAAGGUCCUUCGACUACUCAAGUACUUUGGGAAUGCUGCUCUAAAUGGGAGGGAUAUGUCUUCUCAAGCUAAAUAUUGGCCAUAGACCGAUAGCGCACAAGUACAGUGAUCGAGAGAUGAAAAGCACUUUGAAUUUAGAGUUAAAUAGAACGUGAAAUUGUUGAUGGGGAAGCGUUUGGGACCGAACUUGGACUUGGUUUAUCGUCAGGCGUUCUCCCCGGUGCACUUUGCCAGUCCAGGGCCGGGCCCGGUUUCUGUUGGGGGAUAGAAUUUGGGGAAUGAAUGUCCCUCGGCAACGGUGAAGUGUCGUUGCCUGCACCUUGCGGGGAGCCAAGACCGAGGAUUGCGAUUGAAUCUGGGAUGAUGGUUGACUGAUACCCCACCUUGAACCUUGAACCACGGACCAAACAUUCUAACGACUGUUUGAGUGUUUAGCCCUCACACCCAUUGAAAUAGAGCGGAUGAGAGAGCUUAGGGGUCUCUUGACCGAACCAUCAUGCUAUCGUGAGAUCUUCGUAAGAAUUAGAGUAACAGCACCGCUACUAAGAUGGAUAGAUGUUGAUCUAUAGAGGAAUGAGGAAAGUCCGCUGAAGCUCGCGCGCAGUCUCAUAGACGAUUCAGAUCGGCAAUCUAUCGUGAAUGCGAACGAAUGAGCGAACGAUUAUCAAUCGUUUCUUACCACUUCUGCCCGAAAAAAC